rnacentral:rRNA from 1 species
GACGAACGCUGGCGGCGUGCCUAACACAUGCAAGUCGAACGGGGUACCCCUGAAUGAGGCUUCGGCCGAAUGACGGGACUACCUAGUGGCGGACGGGCGAGUAACGCGUGAGCAACCUGCCUUUCAGAGGGGGAUAACGUUCUGAAAAGAACGCUAAUACCGCAUAACGCAGCGCUGUGGCAUCACAGUGUUGCCAAAGGAGCAAUCCGCUGAAAGAUGGGCUCGCGUCCAAUUAGCUAGUUGGCGGGGUAACGGCCCACCAAGGCGACGAUUGGUAGCCGAACUGAGAGGUUGAUCGGCCGCAUUGGGACUGAGACACGGCCCAG